rnacentral:rRNA from 1 species
AGCAGCCGCGGUAAUUCCAGCUCCAAUAGCGUAUAUUAAAGUUGUUGCAGUUAAAAAGCUCGUAGUUGAAUUUCGAGAUCAAUUUGUUGGUCGUGCCUCGGUACGUACUGGCAAUUUUGAUUUCUCCCUUCUGAAGAACCAUGAUGUCAUUAAUUUGGUGUCAUGGGGAAUCAGGACCGUUACUUUGAAAAAAUUAGAGUGUUUAAAGCAGGCUCGCGCUUGAAUACAUUAGCAUGGAAUAAUGAAAUAGGACGUUUGAUUCUAUUUUGUUGGUUUCUAGGAUCGACGUAAUGAUUAAUAGGGAUAGUUGGGGGCAUUAGUAUUCAAUUGUCAGAGGUGAAAUUCUUGGAUUUAUUGAAGACUAACUACUGCGAAAGCAUUUGCCAAGGAUGUUUUCAUUAAUCAAGAACGAAAGUUAGGGGAUCGAAGACGAUCAGAUACCGUCGUAGUCUUAACCAUAAACUAUGCCGACUAGGGAUCGGAUGAUGUUAAUUUUUAAUGACUCAUUCGGCGCCUUAAC